GACGAACGCUGGCGGCGUGCCUAAUACAUGCAAGUUGAGCGCUGAAGGUUGGUACUUGUACCAACUGGAUGAGCAGCGAACGGGUGAGUAACGCGUGGGGAAUCUGCCUUUGAGCGGGGGACAACAUUUGGAAACGAAUGCUAAUACCGCAUAAAAACUUUAAACACAAGUUUUAAGUUUGAAAGAUGCAAUUGCAUCACUCAAAGAUGAUCCCGCGUUGUAUUAGCUAGUUGGUGAGGUAAAGGCUCACCAAGGCGAUGAUACAUAGCCGACCUGAGAGGGUGAUCGGCCACAUUGGGACUGAGACACGGCCCAAACUCCUACGGGAGGCAGCAGUAGGGAAUCUUCGGCAAUGGGCGAAAGGCUGACCGAGCAACGCCGCGUGAGUGAAGAAGGUUUUCGGAUCGUAAAACUCUGUUGGUAGAGAAGAACGUUGGUGAGAGUGGAAAGCUCAUCAAGUGACGGUAACUACACAGAAAGGGACGGCUAACUACGUG
rnacentral:rRNA from 1 species